rnacentral:rRNA from 1 species
UACGGGAGGCAGCANUGGGGAAUUUUCCGCAAUGGGCGAAAGCCUGACGGAGCAAUACCGCGUGAGGGAGNAAGGCUCUUGGGUUGUAAACCUCUUUUCUCAGGGAAGAACACAAUGACNGGUACCUGAGGAAUCAGCAUCNGGCCUAACUCCGUGCCAGCAGCCGCGGUAAUACGGAGGAUGCAAGCGUUAUCCGGAAUGAUUGGGCGUAAAGCGUCCGCAGGUGGCCUUAUCAAGUCGAUUGUCAAAUGUCCUGGCUCAACUGGGAAGAGGCAGUGGAAACUGAAAAGCUAGAGUGCGGUAGGGGUAGAGGGAAUUCCCGGUGUAGCGGUGAAAUGCGUAGAGAUCGGGAAGAACACCAGUGGCGAAAGCGCUCUACUAGGCCUGCACUGACACUCAUGGACGAAAGCUAGGGGAGCGAAUGGGAUUAGAUACCCCAGUAGUCCUAGCCGUAAACGAUGGAUACUAGGCGUUGAGAGGUAUCGACCCUCUCAGUGCCGUAGCUAACGCGUUAAGUAUCCCGCCUGGGGAGUACGCACGCAAGUGUGAAACUCAAAGAAAUUGACGG